rnacentral:rRNA from 1 species
UACGUAGGGGGCAAGCGUUAUCCGGAUUUACUGGGUGUAAAGGGAGCGUAGACGGCACGGCAAGCCAGAUGUGAAAGCCCGGGGCUCAACCCCGGGACUGCAUUUGGAACUGCUGAGCUAGAGUGUCGGAGAGGCAAGUGGAAUUCCUAGUGUAGCGGUGAAAUGCGUAGAUAUUAGGAGGAACACCAGCGGCGAAGGCGGCUUGCUGGACGAUGACUGACGUUGAGGCUCGAAAGCGUGGGGAGCAAACAGG